rnacentral:tRNA from 2 species
GUCUAUGUAGUAUACCCAUUACACUGGUCUUGUAAACCAGAGAUGAGGAAUAGUAGUUCCUCCAAAGACUC